rnacentral:rRNA from 1 species
UACGUAGGGUGCGAGCGUUUAAUCGGAAUUACUGGGCGUAAAGCGUGCGCAGGCGGUUUUGUAAGCCAGAUGUGAAAUCCCCGGGCUUAACCUGGGAAUGGCAUUUGGGACUGCAAGGCUUGAGUGCGGCAGAGGAGACUGGAAUUCCUGGUGUAGCAGUGAAAUGCGUAGAUAUCAGGAGGAACACCGAUGGCGAAGGCAGGUCUCUGGGCUGACACUGACGCUCAUGCACGAAAAGCGUGGGGGAGCAA